AUAACAAUAAUGAGCUCAGUUAUUAGAUUACAUAAUUUAUAAUGUGAUCUGUCACAAAUAGUACUAUAAUUUUAAUUUUUAAUGGUUUUACAGGCACUGUGCUCAAACGCAUGAUGCAGGAAAAUACCAAAUUUUCCUUAUGAAAUGUUAUGUCACAUUAAUAAAAGACAGUAAUUCACUACCCAUACUCACUUCAGUUCUCACAAAUCCCUGUCCAUAUUUUACUGCUGUAUUUUGAUGUGAAAUGGGGUUGGUUGUCACAUUAAAAACUUGAGGACACUGAGGACUUUAAAGGUCUAAAUUUAAAUAACUGGUUCUGCUGUGUUACUGAACUAAUCAACAAAUGUAUGUCAGUAUGAAGGGGUGGGGGGUACAGGAGAAGUGAGGGUUGUCUUUAAAGCAAAAAAAUGCCCCAAUAUAAAUGUAUUGGAACUGUGCUGAGAUGUUUUGCAUGUUUACCUGCUUGCUGUUGUAUUAAAGAGAUAAUACAACAGCAAUACAAUGAGUUAUCUUGUUUCUGUUUGCUUAUCAUGUGUUCUUUGUAUUUCAAUAAAAUUGUCACUGGAGGAGUUCGGGGACACAUUUGCAGGCAUGCUUGGAGCAAGGGGACAAGUAGUCGCAUGGGGAGUAGACACUGGACACGCUGGGGAGGAGGACUGGAGGCGUUUGGUCGGGGAGAGGGAGGCCGGAGCGAGGGACCACAGCAUGUGUGGGAAGAUACGAGAAACCCUGGUGCAGUGGGACUCAAUGAGGCAGUAACUUGAAUCCGACACCAUGCACCAUGGGGAGAACAUCGACAGCCUUGUGACCUGCAUUACGGACUACAUUAAUUUCUGUGUGGAUAACACCAUACCCACCUGGACUGUAUGGUGCUACUCAAACAACAAACCAUUGAUUACUCUAGAAAUCAAGGAGAAGGAGGAGCUGAAAAUGGUGCAAAGGGAGCUGAAAAGACUGAUCAAGGAUAAGAAAGAAAGCUACAUGCAGAGGAUGGAAAACCAGCUUCAGCAGAUCAAUGUCAGUGGUGUCUGAAGAGGCCUUAGAACCAUCUCAUUCCACAAAGAACAGAACUCUCUGCCGGUGGGGGAUGUGAGGUGGGCAAAUGAACUGAAUCAGUUUUUCAACAGGUUUGAUUAGUCUGCCACUGAUUCUCCCCCCCAAACUACCCUCUCUGAUGCAGUUCCUAACAUCUGCUGCAGACACCUCCACCCCCACCUCUGUUCCACCUCAGACACCUCAAACAAUUCACACCUCCUCUACACUUCACAACGCUUCCACAAGUGGUGGUAGUAGCCUAGCGGGUAACACACUCGCCUAUGAACCAGAAGACCCAGGUUCAAACCCCACUUACUACCAUCGUGUCCCUGAGCAAGACACUUAACCCUGAGUGUCUCCAGGAGGACUGUCCCCUGUAACUACUGAUCGCUCUGGAUAAGG
ensembl:lncRNA